rnacentral:lncRNA from 1 species
UACAUCACCCUCCCAUGGGUCCCUUUUGCAGUCAGCCCUCCUCUCCCUGAGCCUUAACUUAUGCAGAACUAGUCUGCUCUUUGUCCCUUAUUAGAUUAAUUCUGCCUAUUCUAAGAUUUUUGUAUUAAUGGAAUUAAACACCUCCACAGUCAAAAUAUAGUACACUUCAUUGUAGUGGGAAAUGUGGGAAAUGAGGGUCAGGGCAUUGAGAUUUGGAAGUAACACUUUUAUAGUGGCACUAAGGCCUAGAAGGAUAGUUCCCAAAGUCUGAGCCUCAAACACAGGAGGGCUUUUACUUUUAUAAGUAAGCAAGUUUGGAGUACAUCAAGGGAAGAGAGUUUGUGCAAUUCUAUUGGAGGGUGCAUUCUGCAUUCCUUCUUUUUUUUAAUGUGAUGCUGGGGAUUGAACCCAGGGCCUUGUGCAUGCAAGGCUAACACUCUACCAACUGAGCUAUAACCCCACCCUCUACAUGAGUACAAGUUUAUAAACAACCUAGGGACUCUUAGCUCAUACAGCUUAGGAAUUUUUAUUGCACUAAGCCUGAAGGGAGAUUGUUCUGUUCCCGUUGCUAUUUCCUGCUUCUGCUACUGUGGUUAUCUUUUACAGGUACCUGUUAGGCACUGCAAGCCUCUUUGGUUAAAUGUCAGUAAGCAGAGCUGCUCUGUGUCAGCGUGCAAAACUACAGCCUGUCAGCUCUUAAAUUCCUGAAGUUCCCAUUUUGUUCUACCACAUCAUCACACAUCACCUUCCCAUGGGUCUCCUUUGCAGUCAGCCCUCCUCUCCCUGAGCCUUGACUUAUGCAGAACUGGUCUGUUCUUUGUCCCUUAUAGAUCAAUUCUGCCAGUUCUAAGAUUUUUGUAUUAAUGGAAUUAAACAGUAUUUCUCUUUUGUGUCUGAUUUUAUUCGCUCACCCAAAGGCUUUAAGUACACAGAAAUUUUACAUGUACAAGUAGUUUCUCCCUUUUUAUAGCCAAGUUGUAUUAUAUGAAAAUACUUUAAUUUGUUUAUUCAUUCAACUGUUAGUGGACAUUUGGGUUGUUUCUAGUUUGGGAC